rnacentral:rRNA from 1 species
UACGUAGGUGGCAAGCGUUGUCCGGAAUUAUUGGGCGUAAAGCGCGCGCAGGCGGUUUCUUAAGUCUGAUGUGAAAGCCCACGGCUCAACCGUGGAGGGUCAUUGGAAACUGGGGAACUUGAGUGCAGAAGAGAAGAGCGGAAUUCCACGGUGUAGCGGUGAAAUGCGUAGAGAUGUGGAGGAACACCAGUGGCGAAGGCGGCUCUUUGGUCUGUAACUGACGCUGAGGCGCGAAAGCGUGGGGAGCAAACAGGGA